rnacentral:rRNA from 1 species
GUUGUAUGGUUAAGUGACUAAGCGUACACGGUGGAUGCCUUGGCAGUCAGAGGCGAUGAAAGACGUAGUAACUUGCGAUAAGCCCAGAUUAGGUAGUAACAACCAUUUGAGUCUGGGAUUUCUGAAUGGGGAAACCCACGUGCAUAAGCACGUAUCCUUACCUGAAUACAUAGGGUAAGGAGGCGAACCGGGGGAACUGAAACAUCUAAGUACCCCGAGGAAAAGAAAUCAACCGAGAUUCCGAAAGUAGCGGCGAGCGAAAUUGGACUAGCCCUUAAGCUUUACACGCGUUAGACGAACGGUCUGGAAAGUCCGACGAUACAGGGUGAUAGUCCCGUAGUUGACGACGUGUGUUCAGUGAAAUCGAGUAGGGCGGGACACGUGAUAUCCUGUCUGAAUAUGGGGGGACCAUCCUCCAAGGCUAAAUACUACUGACUGACCGAUAGUGAACCAGUACCGUGAGGGAAAGGCGAAAAGAACCCCUGUGAGGGGAGUGAAAUAGAACCUGAAACCGUGUACGUACAAGCAGUAGGAGCAGGCUUGUCCUGUGACUGCGUACCUUUUGUAUAAUGGGUCAGCGACUUAUAUUCAGUGGCAAGGUUAACCAUCUAGGGGAGCCGUAGGGAAACCGAGUCUUAACUGGGCGUUCAGUCUCUGGAUAUAGACCCGAAACCAGGUGAUCUAGCCAUGGGCAGGUUGAAGGUUGAGUAACAUCAACUGGAGGACCGAACCGACUAAUGUUGAAAAAUUAGCGGAUGACUUGUGGCUAGGGGUGAAAGGCCAAUCAAACCUGGAGAUAGCUGGUUCUCCCCGAAAGCUAUUUAGGUAGCGCCUCGGACGAAUACUACUGGGGGUAGAGCACUGUUAAGGCUAGGGGGUCAUCCCGACUUACCAACCCUUUGCAAACUCCGAAUACCAGUAAGUACUAUCCGGGAGACACACGGCGGGUGCUAACGUCCGUCGUGGAGAGGGAAACAACCCAGACCGCCAGCUAAGGUCCCAAAUUACUACUAAGUGGGAAACGAUGUGGGAAGGCUCAGACAGCCAGGAUGUUGGCUUAGAAGCAGCCAUCAUUUAAAGAAAGCGUAAUAGCUCACUGGUCGAGUCGGCCUGCGCGGAAGAUGUAACGGGGCUAAGUAGUAAACCGAAGCUGCGGCAAUAUACUUUUGUAUAUUGGGUAGGGGAGCGUUCUGUAAGCGGUUGAAGGUGUGUGGUAACGCAUGCUGGACGUAUCAGAAGUGCGAAUGCUGACAUGAGUAACGAUAAAGGGGGUGAAAAACCUCCUCGCCGGAAGACCAAGGGUUCCUGUCCAACGUUAAUCGGGGCAGGGUAAGUCGACCCCUAAGGCGAGGCCGAAAGGCGUAGUCGAUGGGAAACGGGUUAAUAUUCCCGUACUUCUUACAAUUGCGAUGGGGGGACGGAGAAGGCUAGGUGGGCCUGGCGACGGUUGUCCAGGUUCAAGUGCGUAGGCUUAAGAGUUAGGUAAAUCCGGCUCUUUCUAAGGCUGAGACACGACGUCGAGCACCUACGGGUGUGAAGUCAUUGAUGCCAUGCUUCCAGGAAAAGCCUCUAAGCUUCAGAUUGUAAGGAAUCGUACCCCAAACCGACACAGGUGGUCGGGUAGAGAAUACCAAGGCGCUUGAGAGAACUCGGGUGAAGGAACUAGGCAAAAUGGUACCGUAACUUCGGGAGAAGGUACGCUCUCGACGGUGAAGUCCCUUGCGGAUGGAGCUAUUGAGAGUCGCAGAUACCAGGUGGCUGCAACUGUUUAUUAAAAACACAGCACUGUGCAAAAUCGUAAGAUGACGUAUACGGUGUGACGCCUGCCCGGUGCCGGAAGGUUAAUUGAUGGGGUUAGACUUCGGUCGAAGCUCUUGAUCGAAGCCCCGGUAAACGGCGGCCGUAACUAUAACGGUCCUAAGGUAGCGAAAUUCCUUGUCGGGUAAGUUCCGACCUGCACGAAUGGCGUAAUGAUGGCCACGCUGUCUCCACCCGAGACUCAGUGAAAUUGAAAUCGCUGUGAAGAUGCAGUGUACCCGCGGCUAGACGGAAAGACCCCGUGAACCUUUACUACAGCUUGGCACUGAACAUUGACCCUACAUGUGUAGGAUAGGUGGGAGGCUUUGAAGCACGUACGCCAGUAUGUGUGGAGCCGUCCUUGAAAUACCACCCUUGUAGUGUUGAUGUUCUAACGUCGACCCCUAAUCGGGGUUGCGGACAGUGCCUGGUGGGUAGUUUGACUGGGGCGGUCUCCUCCCAAAGAGUAACGGAGGAGCACGAAGGUGGGCUAAUCACGGUUGGACAUCGUGAGGUUAGUGCAAUGGCAUAAGCCCGCUUGACUGCGAGAAUGACAAUUCGAGCAGGUGCGAAAGCAGGUCAUAGUGAUCCGGUGGUUCUGAAUGGAAGGGCCAUCGCUCAACGGAUAAAAGGUACUCCGGGGAUAACAGGCUGAUACCGCCCAAGAGUUCAUAUCGACGGCGGUGUUUGGCACCUCGAUGUCGGCUCAUCACAUCCUGGGGCUGAAGUCGGUCCCAAGGGUAUGGCUGUUCGCCAUUUAAAGUGGUACGCGAGCUGGGUUUAGAACGUCGUGAGACAGUUCGGUCCCUAUCUGCCGUGGGCGUUGGAAGAUUGAAGGGGGCUGCUCCUAGUACGAGAGGACCGGAGUGGACGAACCUCUGGUGUUCGGGUUGUGUCGCCAGACGCAUUGCCCGGUAGCUAAGUUCGGAAUCGAUAACCGCUGAAAGCAUCUAAGCGGGAAGCGAGCCCUGAGAUGAGUCUUCCCUGAUACUUUAAGUAUCCUAAAGGGUUGUCGGAGACUACGACGUUGAUAGGUCAGGUGUGUAAGUGCUGUGAGGCAUUGAGCUAACUGAUACUAAUUGCCCGUGAGGCUUAACCAUACAACACCCAAGGGGUUU